AUUGAACGCUGGCGGCAGGCCUAACACAUGCAAGUCGAGCGGUAACACAGGGAGCUUGCUCCCGGGUGACGAGCGGCGGACGGGUGAGUAAUGUCCGGGAAACUGCCUGAUGGAGGGGGAUAACUACUGGAAACGGUAGCUAAUACCGCAUAACGUCGCAAGACCAAAGAGGGGGACCUUCGGGCCUCUUGCCAUCAGAUGUGCCCAGAUGGGAUUAGCUAGUAGGUGGGGUAACGGCUCACCUAGGCGACGAUCCCUAGCUGGUCUGAGAGGAUGACCAGCCACACUGGAACUGAGACACGGUCCAGACUCCUACGGGAGGCAGCAGUGGGGAAUAUUGCACAAUGGGCGCAAGCCUGAUGCAGCCAUGCCGCGUGUAUGAAGAAGGCCUUCGGGUUGUAAAGUACUUUCAGCGGGGAGGAAGGUGCUGAGGUUAAUAACCUCAGCAAUUGACGUUACCCGCAGAAGAAGCACCGGCUAACUCCGUGCCAGCCGCCGCCGUAAUAC
rnacentral:rRNA from 1 species